rnacentral:tRNA from 1 species
UCCCAUAUGAUCUAGUGGUUAGGAUUUGGCGCUCUCACCGCGAAGGUCCGGGUUCAAUUCCCGGUGUGGGAA